GGGUACUUGAGGAGAGGUUGUCUGUGAUGAGUUCGCUUUAUUAAUGACGAAUAUAACACAGAUGGCCUAUUUUCAGUACCA
ensembl:miRNA MIR410 microRNA 410